AUUGAACGCUGGCGGCAGGCCUAACACAUGCAAGUCGAGCGGAUGAAGGGAGCUUGCUCCUGGAUUCAGCGGCGGACGGGUGGGUAAUGCCUAGGAAUCUGCCUGGUAGUGGGGGAUAACGUCCGGAAACGGGCGCUAAUACCGCAUACGUCCAGAGGGAGAAAGUGGGGGAUCUUCGGACCUCACGCUAUCAGAUGAGCCUAGGUCGGAUUAGCUAGUUGGUGGGGUAAAGGCCUACCAAGGCGACGAUCCGUAACUGGUCUGAGAGGAUGAUCAGUCACACUGGAACUGAGACACGGACCAGACUCCUACGGGAGGCAGCAGUGGGGAAUAUUGGACAAUGGGCGAAAGCCUGACCCAGCCAUGCCGCGUGUGUGAAGAAGGUCUUCGGAUUGUAAAGCACUUUUAGUUGGGAGGAAGGGCAGUAAGAUAAUACCUUGCUGUUUUGACGUUACCAACAGAAUAAGCACCGGCUAACUUCGUG
rnacentral:rRNA from 1 species